rnacentral:rRNA from 1 species
AUGAACGCUGGCGGCGUGCCUAAUACAUGCAAGUCGAGCGAACAGAUGAGGAGCUUGCUCCUCUGACGUUAGCGGCGGACGGGUGAGUAACACGUGGAUAACCUACCUAUAAGACUGGGAUAACUUCGGGAAACCGGAGCUAAUACCGGAUAAUAUAUUGAACCGCAUGGUUCAAUAGUGAAAGACGGUUUUGCUGUCACUUAUAGAUGGAUCCGCGCCGCAUUAGCUAGUUGGUAAGGUAACGGCUUACCAAGGCGACGAUGCGUGGCCGACCUGAGAGGGUGAUCGGCCACACUGGAACUGAGACACGGUCCAGACUCCUACGGGAGGCAGCAGUAGGGAAUCUUCCGCAAUGGGCGAAAGCCUGACGGAGCAACGCCGCGUGAGUGAUGGAGGUCUUCGGAUCGUAAAACUCUGUUAUUAGGGAAGAACAAAUGUGUAAGUAACUAUGCACGUCUUGACGGUACCUAAUCAGAAAGCCACGGCUAACUACGUG